GACGAACGCUGGCGGCGUGCUUAACACAUGCAAGUCGAACGGAAAGGCCCUGCUUUUGUUGGGUGCUCGAGUGGCGAACGGGUGAGUAACACGUGAGUAACCUGCCCUUGACUUUGGGAUAACUUCAGGAAACUGGGGCUAAUACCGGAUAGGAGCUCCUGCUGCAUGGUGGGGGUUGGAAAGUUUCGGCGGUUGGGGAUGGACUCGCGGCUUAUCAGCUUGUUGGUGGGGUAGUGGCUUACCAAGGCUUUGACGGGUAGCCGGCCUGAGAGGGUGACCGGCCACAUUGGGACUGAGAUACGGCCCAGACGCCUACGGGAGGCAGCAGUGGGGAAUAUUGCACAAUGGGCGGAAGCCUGAUGCAGCAACGCCGCGUGCGGGAUGACGGCCUUCGGGUUGUAAACCGCUUUCGCCUGUGACGAAGCGUGAGUGACGGUAAUGGGUAAAGAAGCACCGGCUAACUACGUG
rnacentral:rRNA from 1 species